GACGAACGCUGGCGGCGUGCUUAACACAUGCAAGUCGAACGGAAAGGCCCUGCUUUUGUGGGGUGCUCGAGUGGCGAACGGGUGAGUAACACGUGAGUAACCUGCCCUUGACUUUGGGAUAACUUCAGGAAACUGGGGCUAAUACCGGAUAGGAGCUCCUGCUGCAUGGUGGGGGUUGGAAAGUUUCGGCGGGUGGGGAUGGACUCGCGGAUUAUCAGCUUGUUGGUGGGGUAGUGGCUUACCAAGGCUUUGACGGGUAGCCGGCCUGAGAGGGUGACCGGCCACAUUGGGACUGAGAUACGGACCAGACUCCUACGGGAGGCAGCAGUGGGGAAUAUUGCACAAUGGGCGGAAGCCUGAUGCAGCAACGCCGCGUGCGGGAUGACGGCCUUCGGGUUGUAAACCGCUUUCGCCUGUGACGAAGCGUGAGUGACGGUAAUGGGUAAAGAAGCACCGGCUAACUACGUG
rnacentral:rRNA from 1 species